CCUACGUGAGGCAGCAGUGAGGAAUAUUGGUCAAUGGGCACGAGCCUGAACCAGCCAAGUAGCGUGAAGGAUGACUGCCCUACGGGUUGUAAACUUCUUUUUUAAAGGAAUAAAGUGAGGCACGUGUGCCUUUUUGUAUGUACUUUAUGAAUAAGGAUCGGCUAACUCCGUGCCAGCAGCCGCGGUAAUACGGAGGAUCCGAGCGUUAUCCGGAUUUAUUGGGUUUAAAGGGAGCGUAGAUGGGUUGUUAAGUCAGGUGUGAAAGUUUGCGGCUCAACCGUAAAAUUGCAAUUGAUACUGGCAGUCUUGAGUACAGUUGAGGUAGGCGGAAUUCGUGGUGUAGCGGUGAAAUGCUUAGAUAUCACGAAGAACUCCGAUUGCGAAGGCAGCUUACUAAACUGCCACUGACAUUGAUGCUCGAAAGUGUGGGUAUCAAACAGGAUUAGAUACCCGAGUAGUC
rnacentral:rRNA from 1 species